GCUAGGCAUGGUGGCACAUGCCUGUAAUCCCAACUACUUGGGAGGCUGAGACAGGAGAAUUGCUUGAACCUGGGAAGGAGGAGGUUGCAGUGAGCCGAGGUGGUGCCACUGCACUCCAUCCUGGGUGACAGAGCAAGACUCUGUCUCAA
ensembl:misc_RNA Metazoa_SRP Metazoan signal recognition particle RNA